rnacentral:siRNA from 1 species
UUGGAAACUAAUGAAGAUUAGUU